GGGCCCAUAGCUCAGUUGGUUAGAGUAGCUGACUCAUAAUCAGUUGGUCGCUGGUUCGAGCCCAGCUGGGCCCA
rnacentral:tRNA from 2 species